rnacentral:rRNA from 1 species
UACGUAGGGUGCGAGCGUUGUCCGGAAUUAUUGGGCGUAAAGAGCUCGUAGGCGGUCUGUCGCGUCGGUCGUGAAAGCUUGGGGCUUAACCCUGAGCUUGCGGUCGAUACGGGCAUGACUGGAGUUCGGCAGGGGAGACUGGAAUUCCUGGUGUAGCGGUGAAAUGCGCAGAUAUCAGGAGGAACACCGGUGGCGAAGGCGGGUCUCUGGGCCAUAGCUGACGCUGAGGAGCGAAAGCAUGGGGAGCGAACAGG